UGCAAGUCGAGCGGUAACAGAUCUAGCUUGCUGGAUGCUGACGAGCGGCGGACGGGUGAGUAAUGCAUAGGAAUCUGCCCGAUAGUGGGGGAUAACCUGGGGAAACCCAGGCUAAUACCGCAUACGUCCUACGGGAGAAAGGGGGCUCCGGCUCCCGCUAUGGGAUGAGCCUAUGUCGGAUUAGCUAGUUGGUGAGGUAACGGCUCACCAAGGCCACGAUCCGUAGCUGGUCUGAGAGGAUGAUCAGCCACAUCGGGACUGAGACACGGCCCGAACUCCUACGGGAGGCAGCAGUGGGGAAUAUUGGACAAUGGGGGAAACCCUGAUCCAGCCAUGCCGCGUGUGUGAAGAAGGCCCUCGGGUUGUAAGCACUUUCAGCGAGGAAGAACGCCUAGCGGUUAAUACCCGCUAGGAAAGACAUCACUCGCAGAAGAAGCACCGGCUAACUCCGUGCCAGCAGCCGCGGUAAUACGGAGGGUGCAAGCGUUAAUCGGAAUUACUGGGCGUAAAGCGCGCGU
rnacentral:rRNA from 1 species